CCUACGGGUGGCUGCAGUGGGGAAUAUUGGACAAUGGGCGAAAGCCUGAUCCAGCCAUGCCGCGUGUGUGAAGAAGGCCUUCGGGUUGUAAAGCACUUUCAGUGGGGAAGAAAGCCUUGGGGCUAAUACCCUCGAGGAAGGACAUCACCCACAGAAGAAGCACCGGCUAACUCCGUGCCAGCAGCCGCGGUAAUACGGAGGGUGCGAGCGUUAAUCGGAAUUACUGGGCGUAAAGCGCGCGCAGGCGGUCUGAUAAGCCGGUUGUGAAAGCCCCGGGCUCAACCUGGGAACGGCAUCCGGAACUGGCAGGCUAGAGUGCAGGAGAGGAAGGUAGAAUUCCCGGUGUAGCGGUGAAAUGCGUAGAGAUCGGGAGGAAUACCAGUGGCGAAGGCGGCCUUCUGGACUGACACUGACGCUGAGGUGCGAAAGCGUGGGUAGCAAACAGGAUUAGAUACCCCAGUAGUC
rnacentral:rRNA from 1 species